UACAGAGGGUGCGAGCGUUAAUCGGAAUUACUGGGCGUAAAGGGCUCGUAGGCGGCCAACUAAGUCAGACGUGAAAUCCCUCGGCUUAACCGGGGAACUGCGUCUGAUACUGGAUGGCUUGAGUUCGGGAGAGGGAUGCGGAAUUCCAGGUGUAGCGGUGAAAUGCGUAGAUAUCUGGAGGAACACCGGUGGCGAAGGCGGCAUCCUGGACCGACACUGACGCUGAGGAGCGAAAGCCAGGGGAGCAAACGGG
rnacentral:rRNA from 1 species